UCAGUGCAUGACAGAACUUGG
rnacentral:ncRNA from 26 species